AUACGUAGGGGGCAAGCGUUAUCCGGAUUUACUGGGUGUAAAGGGAGCGUAGACGGUUUGGCAAGUCUGAUGUGAAAGCCCGGGGCUCAACCGCGGGACUGCAUUGGAAACUGUCAGACUUGAGUGCAGGAGAGGUAAGUGGAAUUCCUAGUGUAGCGGUGAAAUGCGUAGAUAUUAGGAGGAAUACCAGUGGCGAAGGCGACUCUCCUGACGGAGACGGACGCUGAGGCACGAAAGCGUGGGGAGCAAACAGGAUUAGAUGCACUGGUAGUGCUCGCUAUAAACGAUGAGUGGUAGGUGUCGGGGGUCAAACCUCGGUGCCGCAGUUAACACAUUAAGCACGCCGCCUGGGGAGUACGGCCGCAAGGCUGAAACUCAAAUGAAGUGACGGGG
rnacentral:rRNA from 1 species